UUUGAUUUCUUAACUGCUCUGGCGGCGUGCCUAAUACAUGCAAGUCGAGCGGAGUUUUGAAAAGCUUGCUUUUCAAAACUUAGCGGCGGACGGGUGAGUAACACGUGGGCAACCUGCCCUUGAGACGGGGAUAACUCCGGGAAACCGGAGCUAAUACCGGAUAACACAUAUCUUCGCAUGAGGAUAUGUUAGAAGGUGGCUUUUAGCUACCACUCAAGGAUGGGCCCGCGGCGCAUUAGCUAGUUGGUGAGGUAACGGCUUCACACCAAGGCGACGAUGCGUAGCCGACCUGAGAGGGUGAUCGGCCACACUGGGACUGAGACACGGCCCAGACUCCUACGGGAGGCAGCAGUAGGGAAUCUUCCGCAAUGGACGAAAGUCUGACGGAGCAACGCCGCGUGAGUGAUGAAGGUUUUCGGAUCGUAAAGCUCGUUUGUUGUUAGGGAAGAACAAGUACCUGUUAAAUAAGCAGGUACCUUGACGGUACCUAACCAGAAAGCCACGGCUAACUACGUGCCAGCAGCCGCGGUAAUACGUAGGUGGCAAGCGUUGUCCGGAAUUAUUGGGCGUAAAGCGCGCGCAGGCGGUUCCUUAAGUCUGAUGUGAAAGCCGCUCACGGCUCAACCGUGGAGGGUCAUUGGAAACUGGGGAACUUGAGUGCAGAAGAGGAGAGCGGAAUUCCACGUGUAGCGGUGAAAUGCGUAGAGAUGUGGAGGAACACCAGUGGCGAAGGCGGCUCUCUGGUCUGUAACUGACGCUGAGGCGCGAAAGCGUGGGGAGCGAACAGGAUUAGAUACCCU
rnacentral:rRNA from 1 species